rnacentral:rRNA from 1 species
AAUAGAUACCCCGGUAGUCCACGCCGUAAACGAUGGAUGCUAGCCGUUGGCAGGCUUGCCUGUCAGUGGCGCAGCUAACGCAUUAAGCAUCCCGCCUGGGGAGUACGGUCGCAAGAUUAAAACUCAAAGGAAUUGACGGGGACCCGCACAAGCGGUGGAGCAUGUGGUUUAAUUCGAUGCAACGCGAAGAACCUUACCUGCCCUUGACAUGUCCGGAACCCUGCAGAGAUGCGGGGGUGCCUUCGGGAACCGGAACACAGGUGCUGCAUGGCUGUCGUUAGCUCGUGUCGUGAGAUGUUGGGUUAAGUCCCGCAACGAGCGCAACCCUUGUCCCUAGUUGCCAGCGCGUCAUGGCGGGAACUCUAGGGAGACUGCCGGUGACAAACCGGGAGGAAGGUGGGGACGACGUCAAGUCAUCAUGGCCCUUAUGGGGCAGGGCUACACACGUGCUACAAUGGCGAAUACAAAGGGUUGCCAACUCGCAAGAGCAAGCCAAUCCCAUAAAGCUCGUCGUAGUCCGGAUCGG